UUGUAGGCACAAAUUAUAUCCUAUUCAUCUUGUGUUCCCCAUAGUGAAAAGGACAGUACCAUGAAGUGGAAAUGAAUAGGUAUUUCCUGACUGAAGAAAUAAUGAAUUAGUAUACUGAAAUACUGAUUAAAUAUAUGGAAAGAAUUAGGAGAAAGUUCUCUAGGAGAAUAGUGCAAAGUUGUAUAUUUAGAGUUGACUUUUAUUUUUUUGACUGUGCAUGUGGCAUCUUAGUUCCCUGACCAGGGAUCAAACCCAUGCUCCCUGCAAGGGAAGCAUGGAGUCUUAAGCACUGGACCACCAGGGAAGUCCCCCGGGUUGACCUUGUCUAGUCUAUUUUAAAUACCAUUGGCUUAGAUAAAAAGUUGUGGAGUCAUUUAUCUUAAUUUGCAUGUAACAAGUGCACAACUAAUAUGAUAGAAUGAGAAUGUUUUUCCACUCCUGGUAGUUGUCUUGGAAGGUGGAAACUCAGAAGAGGUGUCCUGGGGGACUCUUCAAGUGAGAAUUUGUUACUAUUUAGUACAUAAUUUCCAAGGGAACAGAAGCAAGUCAGGAAACAGGAGCUAGAAGUAACUCAUCAACCACCACCUGGAAUGAAUGGGUCAUUCCAGGGCCAGAAAGGGGAGAUGAUCAAGGGUUUGUAGAAGAGCACAGGACAUUUAGAACUGAGGACAAGAGCACAGAGCAUUCCCUUGGAUACAAGUUAGCUAUGAGAAGAGUCUUGAGAAACUGCAGAGAGCUGGCUACAUUCACUCAAUCAAUAAAGUACUGAGUGUCCAAUGUGUUAUAGGACUGAUAGCUGUUGUAGAUACAGUUAUCAGAAAAUGAUGCAGAUACUGAAUAUUGUGAUAAAGUCUGCAAUGUUCAUGAUAAUUUGAAAAUGGAAUUUAAGGAGCAAUCACAGGCUUACAGAGGGAUGAAAUGGGAAGGAGGGAGCAUGCUACCAAGAAGUCAGAAGGUCUCAGAUUUUACCCUGCUUGCAAGCAAAUGAAUUCGCCUGCCACUGUUUCGUGGAUUCUGGUAGAAGACACAAAACUCCUGUGUCAGAGAUGAUGGGCAGUUUAUUAAGCAUAGUGAUAGCAGUAGCUAGAAUACAAUUGCUAGAGGCAAUUGUGCAUCAGCCUCAAUUUUUCCCCUAAGCUUAAAAUUCCACAGAGCAGAACAAAGAGAACCAGAUGUCACCUGCACAUACAGUGGGUUGUAUUACAGAAGAGGAGCCCUGGCCUUUAGGAACCCAAAUCUUUUAUAAUGGUUAGUAGGCAUGCCUGCCCUUUGCUCCAGAAGGAGGCACCGUUUCUGUCUUCCAUGGCUGCUUGCCUCACAAACAUUGUUGAAGAGAUAAUCCAGAACAAAGUGCAGCUGAUUCCUCUCUUGCAAGAUGUGCAGAAAUGCAAGAGAACCAUGAAGGAUUGUCUCCUAACAUGUGCUUGACUGUGGAGCUGACAUCUUCAGUGAAUCUGCAGGUCUAUCUGAGACCACCUUUUUCUGCUUGACCUGGACCAGUAAACACAUAUACAGUUGGUACCGUUGGGCUAUGUGACAGCUCUUAGUCUCUGCCAGGAUAUUCCCUGAGGCUGGAACGCCUGUGAGGCUGUCUCGCUCCUCAUCCCCAGCCCGCCAACUGAUCCUUUAAGAAGAUCAAAUGUCUUCUCUUGAAAGCUUUCCUGCAGCCAGACGGCAGCACUGUUCUCCUGGAGCUCGCUCCUGGUCUGCAUUGUCCCAGCAAUCAGUGACCUGUGAAAUAGUUGAGGGCAAGGUCUAACUCUACGCUUAGCACCUGGCAUAGUCUUUGGCACAUGGUGGAUACUCAUGAAGUAUGCAUGGACUGAAUGGGGAAAUUACUCAUACAUUCAAAGCCAUUAUACAACAAUAAUGAUGUCUGAGCAGUUAAUAAUAGUAACAGCCAACAUUUGCUCUCUGCUUCAGAUACUAUUCUCAGCACCCUAUCUUCACAGUAUUAUUUAAUCUAAGCUACAGCUCUGUGAAAAAAGCAUGAUUUGUUAUUUCCAUCGACAGAUGAAAACACUGAGAACCAGAGAGGUCAAGUUAUCUGCUUGGGUU